rnacentral:rRNA from 1 species
UGCGCAGGCGGCCUGUUAAGUCAGGGGUGAAAUAUGACGGCUCAACCGUCAAACUGCCCCUGAAACUGCCAGGCUUGAGUCCGGGAGAGGAAGGUGGAAUUCCAGGUGUAGCGGUGAAAUGCGUAAAUAUCUGGAGGAACACCAGUGGCGAAGGCGGCCUUCUGGCCCGGAACUGACGCUCAGGCACGAAAGCAUGGGGAGCGAACAGGAUUAGAUACCCUGGUAGUCC